GCCAUUGCUCAGUGCUAGAGCAUCUGCCUUGCAAAUGGAAGGUCUCGGGUUCAACCCCUGGUAUCUGCA